UUGCACCUGAUUGACGAUGGAUCACCAGUGAGUGGCGGACGGGUGAGUAACACGUAGGUAACCUGCCCCGGAGCGGGGGAUAACAUUUGGAAACAGAUGCUAAUACCGCAUAACAACAAAAGCCACAUGGCUUUUGUUUGAAAGAUGGCUUUGGCUAUCACUCUGGGAUGGACCUGCGGUGCAUUAGCUAGUUGGUAAGGUAACGGCUUACCAAGGCGAUGAUGCAUAGCCGAGUUGAGAGACUGAUCGGCCACAAUGGAACUGAGACACGGUCCAUACUCCUACGGGAGGCAGCAGUAGGGAAUCUUCCACAAUGGGCGCAAGCCUGAUGGAGCAACACCGCGUGAGUGAAGAAGGGUUUCGGCUCGUAAAGCUCUGUUGUUGGAGAAGAACGUGCGUGAGAGUAACUGUUCACGCAGUGACGGUAUCCACCCAGAAAGUCACGGCUAACUACGUGCCAGCAGCCGCGGGUAAUACGUAGGUGGCAAGCGUUAUCCGGAUUUAUUGGGCGUAAAAGCGAGCGCAGGCGGUUGCUUAGGUCUGAUGUGAAAGCCUUCGGCUUAACCCGAAGAAGUGCAU
rnacentral:rRNA from 1 species